UGGGGAAUAUUGCACAAUGGGCGAAAGCCUGAUGCAGCGACGCCGCGUGAGGGAUGACGGCCUUCGGGUUGUAAACCUCUUUCAGUAGGGAAGAAGCCUUUCGGGGUGACGGUACCUGCAGAAGAAGCGCCGGCUAACUACGUGCCAGCAGCCGCGGUAAUACGUAGGGCGCAAGCGUUGUCCGGAAUUAUUGGGCGUAAAGAGCUCGUAGGCGGCUUGUCGCGUCUGCUGUGAAAACGCAAGGCUUAACCUUGCGCCUGCAGUGGGUACGGGCAGGCUAGAGUGCGGUAGGGGAGACUGGAAUUCCUGGUGUAGCGGUGGAAUGCGCAGAUAUCAGGAGGAACACCGGUGGCGAAGGCGGGUCUCUGGGCCGUUACUGACGCUGAGGAGCGAAAGCAUGGGGAGCGAACAGGAUUAGAUACCCUGGUAGUCCAUGCCGUAAACGUUGGGCACUAGGUGUGGGAUCCAUUCCACGGGUUCCGUGCCGCAGCUAACGCAUUAAGUGCCCCGCCUGGGGAGUACGGCCGCAAGGCUA
rnacentral:rRNA from 1 species